UUUGAGCGAAUUCAUCGCAGUAAUUUGGUGGGCAUGGGUAUUAUUCCGCUAUGUUUUAAGCCCGGUGAGGAUGCUGAGACACUUGGAUUGACUGGUCAUGAACGCUAUAGCAUCGAACUUCCAAGCAGUGUGAGCGAAAUUAGACCUGGUCAAGAUGUCACGGUUGUGACAGACAAUGGCAAGUCAUUCACAUGUACUUUACGUUUUGAUACUGAGGUGGAACUGGCAUAUUUUGAUCAUGGAGGCAUUUUGCAAUAUGUCAUUCGGAACCUGAUUUAUGCAAAACAAUGAAAAAGCAACAGCUCAAUUAUCAAUAAGGUCAGUUUGCAGCUGCGAAGCAAACAGGUAAUAAAAGAUUUGGCAACAAUGCAUGAGAUGUCCUUUUUGUUGCAGAGCCCUAUCAUUUUAUGAAUAAAUAAAGAAGUGAAAAAGGGAUUAUUCGAGGGUUGACAGAUAUUAAUGCCAAAAUCCAGUUCACCAUAGAUAUUUGGCGUUAAACGUUUGAUUUUUGGAUUAAAGAGAAAAACUAUCCAGUGACUCGUAUUGUUUGUUUAGAAAAAGUGUAAUUGAACCGAUGAUUUGGUAGCUUAAAUUUUUAUAAAAUGCUGCUUCAAAGCUGGUUACUAUUGCUGUAUGGUAUUUUCUUAGAAAGAUGGUGUGGAUUUGUCAUUACGUAUCGGAUGACAAAUCCACACCAUCUUUCUAAGAAAAUACCAUACAGCAAUAG
rnacentral:misc_RNA from 1 species